GACAGAGGGUGCAAACGUUGUUCGGAAUUACUGGGCGUAAAGCGCGUGUAGGCGGCUAUGUAAGUCGGGCGUGAAAUCCCACGGCUCAACCGUGGAAGUGCACCCGAAACUGCGUAGCUAGAGUCCUGGAGAGGAAGGUGGAAUGCUUGGUGUAGAGGUGAAAUUCGUAGAUAUCAAGCGGAACACCGGUGGCGAAGGCGGCCUUCUGGACAGUGACUGACGCUGAGGAGCGAAAGUGUGGGGAGCGAACAGG
rnacentral:rRNA from 1 species